UGACAUUUAGUUUUUUUUUAAAAAUAAAUUUAAGAAAGAAAGAGAGAAAUUAAAAUCUUUCGAAAGUCUUGGAAAAAAUUUUUUUAAAAAAAAUAUUAGAUUUUAUUUGAUGAAAUUUUAUUUUCAAUUGUGAUAUGAAAAUGUGCGGGGGAUUUCAAUGUUCAAAAAACGCUUUAAUAGCGUUAAAUGUGCUAUACAUAAUGGUCGGUAUUCUUUUGAUUUGUGUCGGAGUCUAUAGUCAAGCAGCAUCAAUUGUUACAAAUCUUCCAAUAGUAUCUGGAAUUUUAGCAUGUGGAGUAAUAUUAAUAAUGAUCUCCAUUCUUGGUUUGGCAGGAGCAGUUAAACAUCACCAAGUUAUGUUAUUCUUUUAUAUGAUUAUUUUGUUUAUGUUGUUUUUAAUACAAUUUUCGAUCGCAUGCUCAUGUUUAGCUGUAAAUUCUGAUCAACAGAAGCAGUUAGCAGAAGAAGGUUGGAAUCGUGUUCCAGAUUCAAUUAAAAAAGAUGUUCAAGAAACUUUUAAUUGCUGCGGGUUUAAUCAGACUGUGACUGGUGCAGAUCCUGCUAUGGAAAUAUCAUGUGAAAUAUUAAAUCGCAAAUGUUGCUUCGGUUUAGGAAGUACCUGUUCCUGUCCACCAUGCUUAAUGAAAUUGGAAGACAAAAUUAAUUACGCAUUCCAAUUGUGUGGCGGCAUUGGGCUAUUCUUCAGUUUUACAGAGUUUUUGGGCGUUUGGCUAACCGUUCGUUAUCGUAAUCAAAAAGAUCCUAGAGGAUUGCCAAGUGCUUUCCUUUAAUUUUUGCAAAACAAAAUUCAUUUAAUGUCUUUUUAAUCUAUUUUUAAAGUUCUAACUACAUGCAAUAUUGUAAAAUAUUAUUUAUAAGUAAAAAACAAAUGUGUCCUUGACAUUUUGACAAAUAUAAUGCUAAGCCAUAGUGUUGGAAAAAGGUUUAUUAAAUUUACAGAACGAUAUUUAAGGGUUUUAGCUGUUUUCAUCACUUGGCGUUAUCGUAAUCUACACGAUCCUUAUGAUUUACCAGCACGUGCAAUUUUCCCACAUAAUUAUCACUAUUAAAGUUUUUGAAAAUAUGAGAAGAGUCCAAUUAGUAGUCGAUUCAUUAAGGCUGAUUUAUUUAAUUACGUAGAAAUAUAAUUUUAAGUUUACAAGUUUUUUUUUUUUCAUUUUUACAUAAUAUGUUAUAUAGAAAGUAUAAUAGUAAAAAAUAAGUUAUGUUUAUUAUUUAAUUUGUAUAAAUUUGGAAAAAGCUUAUUGUUUUUAAAAAUAUUAAGGCUACUUUUUUUCAUAUUAAGUUUCGUAAGAAGGGUUCGAAUUAAAUGAGAUUAUAAUGUGUACUAUAUUAAAUGAUGUUAAAAAUUGCUAAAUAUUCAAUUUGUAGAUUUAAAGAUUAUUAAAUUAACAAUAUGUUUUAAGAAAAUACCAAAUGAACAAUUUCUCGCAAGUUCUCAAUACUAUUUUUUCACAAAAAAUUAUUAUAGCUUAGGUUAAAAUUUAUAUAUUCAUAAAUAAUAUUCAUGGGUUUAUCUUCAUUUAGCUAAUCAUAUUAAUUUUAAGUUUGUAGUUACUCAAAUCAAUGAAAAGCUCAUAUAAUUUUGGAGUCUUUAAAAUUAUUUUUGGACUCCAAAGCAACUAAUAUUAAUUAGCCUAUCUUAAACUUUUUUAAACAAAAAAUAACUUAUUUCAAUUUGUUACAGAUUGCCACAUACAUUUUCAUUCUAUUAUUUUCAUUAAAAUUUAUAUUCUAAUUAAAUGUGUUGUACAUAAAUUUUAAUUUUAUUACUAAUUAAAUGAUUCAGUACGAUGAUAAAACUGCCACAAUAUAAUUUUGAUUUUAGUACAUAAUUAUAAUAUGCAUACCUAUAUUUUGCAUUUUCAAACCGCAGAUAGCUGAGAUAAAUAAUAUCCAAUGCAAGUUUUUAAAUCCAAUACAAAAAUUGUUUUUAAAAUAUAUUAAAAUAAUUGUAUUGUUUGUUCUUAUUAAGAAUUUUAAUAAAAUUUUAUAUUUUUAUGUUUCAAAUAUUACAUACACGAUGAGCACGAGCUGCUUUCUUUUAAUAUAAUAUGUAUAUUUUCAAAUAAUUUUUAUUUUUUUUUAAAAAGUUAGUUUACAGAAAAUGUAUAGACAAUUGAGAAAAUCUUUUUAAAACAUUAGAAUAUAUAAUAUUAUGUGUAUUAGAUUAUUUAUUUAUCCCAAAUAUUUUAUAUUUAAGAGAAUGUUAUAAGUCGCUUAAUAUGUACUGGUAUAAAAGCCCAUUCAAAUUAAAUAAAUAUAUUCUAUAAGAAAAAAUAAUUCUAUUAGAGUAAAAGUUAUUGAAACAAAAUACGGAAAAACGAAAAAAGAAAGUUAUUUUGUAUGAAUAUUAAAAAGUUUACAUAAUAAUAUUAAAAUUGUGCGAACAAAUGUAUAUGUAUAGACAUACAAAUGUAAUUUUACUUAGCAUAUAAUAUGUGCUGUGAUUAAAAGAAAAAAUUAAAAAAAAAAAUAAUAUUUUAAAUUGUAUGGACCGAACUUUUAACUGUGUAUGUAGGAAAAAUCAAAAAUUAAUUUCAAGAUUUAAAUUCUCAAAAAGUGUAAAAACAUGGAAUGAAAAUAAAUAUGAAAUAAGAAUGAGUAAUACUUUAGUUUUUACUUUUUAAAUACAUUUUUAAUUUCAUAGGUUCCUAAUAAUUAUGAAAUAAGAACUUUAACGUCUUAAAAAAGGGAAGUGUUCAUUAGAACAGAUAAGACUUAUGCACUUCAUCCUAUAUUUCAUUAAAACAGUUAAAUAUUUUUUCUUGAAAUAUUUUAUAAUGAUUUU